CCUACGGGGGGCAGCAGUGGGGAAUUUUGGACAAUGGGCGAAAGCCUGAUCCAGCAAUGCCGCGUGCAGGAAGAAGGCCUUCGGGUUGUAAACUGCUUUUGUACGGAACGAAACGGUCUGCUUUAAUACAGUGGGCUAAUGACGGUACCGUAAGAAUAAGCACCGGCUAACUACGUGCCAGCAGCCGCGGUAAUACGUAGGGUGCGAGCGUUAAUCGGAAUUACUGGGCGUAAAGCGUGCGCAGGCGGUUAUAUAAGACAGUUGUGAAAUCCCCGGGCUCAACCUGGGAAUUGCAUCUGUGACUGUAUAGCUAGAGUACGGUAGAGGGGGAUGGAAUUCCGCGUGUAGCAGUGAAAUGCGUAGAUAUGCGGAGGAACACCGAUGGCGAAGGCAAUCCCCUGGACCUGUACUGACGCUCAUGCACGAAAGCGUGGGGAGCAAACAGGAUUAGAUACCCCUGUAGUC
rnacentral:rRNA from 1 species